AGGACGAACGCUGGCGGCGUGCUUAACACAUGCAAGUCGAGCGGUAAGGCCUUUCGGGGUACACGAGCGGCGAACGGGUGAGUAACACGUGGGUGAUCUGCCCUGCACUCUGGGAUAAGCCUGGGAAACUGGGUCUAAUACCGGAUAUGACCUGCUCUCGCAUGGGGGGUGGGUGGAAAGAUUUUAUCGGUGCAGGAUGGGCCCGCGG
rnacentral:rRNA from 1 species